rnacentral:lncRNA from 1 species
CCUGGAUUUCCUUAUUCUUAUAUUUUUGACCAUCACGUUCUUUUUCAGAGGUCAUCGUGCAUUGUUUACAUGGAUCCACCUUUAUCUGCUCGCUAGCUUGGCACAGCAGGCCUGGGCGCAAGUGUCAAAGCCAGGCCUGCCUGGGAGUUACUCUCCGGCCAUCCUGUAACUCUGCCGCCCCAGAGGACUUCUUGCAGUCACUUCCUGUCAUCGCCGCGGCUGGACCUGCUGGUGGAUUCUGCACUGGUCGUCUCCACUCCCUGUAUUGCACUUGAUAAAACAGGCCGCUCCCAGAUUGUUAGAGCCCAUGGAAUACCAAUGAUAAUUGCUGACAUUGGAGUGAUCACUUUAUGCCAAGCACUGUGAGAAGCCCUUUACAUGAAUUUUUUCAUCUAAUCCUACAACCCCCCUU